UAGAGUUUGAUUCUGGCUCAGGAUGAACGCUGGCGGCGUGCCUAACACAUGCAAGUCGAACGGAAGAUAGCAAUAUCUUUAGUGGCGGACGGGUGAGGAACACGUAGCUAACCUGCCCUGAAGUGGGGGAUAACCGUCGGAAACGAUGGCUAAUACCGCAUAAGCUCACGCCUGAGAGAAUGGGUGUGAGAAAAGCCUUGGCGCUUUGGGAGGGGGCUGCGGCCCAUCAGGUAGUUGGUGUGGUAACGGCGCACCAAGCCGACGACGGGUAGGGGACCUGAGAGGGUGACCCCCCACACUGGAACUGAGACACGGUCCAGACUCCUACGGGAGGCAGCAGUGAGGAAUAUUGCUCAAUGGGCGCAAGCCUGAAGCAGCGACGCCGCGUGGGUGAUGAAGGGUUUCGGCUCGUAAAGCCCUUUUCUCCGGGACGAGAGAGGACGGUACCGGAGGAAUAAGUGUCGGCUAACUACGUGCCAGCAGCCGCGGUAAAACGUAGGACGCAAGCGUUAUCCGGAAUUACUGGGCGUAAAGCGCGUGUAGGCGGGAGUUUAAGUCACUGUUGAAAGCGCCGGGCUAAACUCGGCGAGGUGCGGUGAGACUGGACUUCUGGAGAGUGUCAGAGGGGUGCAGAAUUCCGGGUGUAGUGGUGAAAUGCGUAGAGAUCCGGAGGAAUACUAGAGGCGAAGGCGGCACCCUGGGACAUAUCUGACGCUGAGACGCGAAAGCAUGGGGAGCGAACGGGAUUAGAGACCCCGGUAGUCCAUGCCGUAAACGAUGGGCACUAGGUGUUGGGGGUAUCAUGCCCUCGGUGCCGAAGUUAACACAUUAAGCACUCCGCCUGGGGAGUACGGUCGCAAGACUGAAACUCAAAUGAAUUGACGGGG
rnacentral:rRNA from 1 species